GUGCCAGCAGCCGCGGUAAUACAGAGGUCCCGAGCGUUGUUCGGAUUCACUGGGCGUAAAGGGUGUGUAGGCGGUUGGGUAAGUUUGUUGUGAAAUCUCCAAGCUCAACUUGGAAAAUGCAAUGAAAACUGCCUAGCUAGAGGAUUGUAGGGGGGGCUGGAAUUCUCGGUGUAGCAGUGAAAUGCGUAGAUAUCGAGAGGAACACCAGUGGCGAAGGCGAGUCCCUGGACAAAUCCUGACGCUGAGGCACGAAAGCUGGGGGAGCAAACAGGAUUAGAUACCCUGGUAGUCC
rnacentral:rRNA from 1 species